rnacentral:rRNA from 1 species
GACGAACGCUGGCGGCGUGCCUAACACAUGCAAGUCGAACGGGGUAAUUCCUUCGGGGAUUACUUAGUGGCGAACGGGUGAGUAACGCGUGAGAAACCUGCCUUUCAGUGGGGGACAACAGUUGGAAACGACUGCUAAUACCGCAUAAUGUUAUUUGGGGGCAUCCCUGAAUAACCAAAGAUUUAUUGCUGAAAGAUGGUCUCGCGUCUGAUUAGCUAGUUGGUGAGGUAACGGCUCACCAAGGCGACGAUCAGUAGCCGGUCUGAGAGGAUGAACGGCCACAUUGGGACUGAGAUACGGCCCAGACUCCUACGGGAGGCAGCAGUGGGGAAUAUUGGGCAAUGGGCGAAAGCCUGACCCAGCAACGCCGCGUGAAGGAAGAAGGCCUUCGGGUUGUAAACUUCUUUUAGCAGGGACGAAUUUUGACGGUACCUGCAGAAAAAGCAACGGCUAACUACGUGCCAGCAGCCGCAGUAACAC